rnacentral:rRNA from 1 species
GAUGCUAAUACCGGAUAACAACAGAUGAUGCCUAUCAACUGUUUAAAAGAUGGUUCUGCUAUCACUCUUGGAUGGACCUGCGGUGCAUUAGCUAGUUGGUAGGGUAACGGCCUACCAAGGCGAUGAUGCAUAGCCGAGUUGAGAGACUGAUCGGCCACAUUGGGACUGAGACACGGCCCAAACUCCUACGAGAGGCAGCAGCG